rnacentral:rRNA from 1 species
UGCAAGUCGAACGGUGAAGCAGAGCUUGCUCUGUGGAUCAGUGGCGAACGGGUGAGUAACACGUGAGCAAUCUGCCCCUGACUCUGGGAUAAGCGCUGGAAACGGCGUCUAAUACCGGAUACGAGCUGCGAAGGCAUCUUCAGCAGCUGGAAAGAGCUUCGGUCAGGGAUGAGCUCGCGGCCUAUCAGCUUGUUGGUGAGGUAACGGCUCACCAAGGCGUCGACGGGUAGCCGGCCUGAGAGGGUGACCGGCCACACUGGGACUGAGACACGGCCCAGACUCCUACGGGAGGCAGCAGUGGGGAAUAUUGCACAAUGGGCGAAAGCCUGAUGCAGCAACGCCGCGUGAGGGACGACGGCCUUCGGGUUGUAAACCUCUUUUAGCAGGAAAGAAGCGAAAGUGACGGUACCUGCAGAAAAAGCGCCGGCUAACUACGUGCCAGCAGCCGCGGUAAUACGUAGGGCGCAAGCGUUAUCCGGAAUUAUUGGGCGUAAAGAGCUCGUAGGCGGUCUGUCGCGUCUGCUGUGAAAACCCGAGGCUCAACCUCGGGCCUGCAGUGGGUACGGGCAGACUAGAGUGCGGUAGGGGAGAUUGGAAUUCCUGGUGUAGCGGUGGAAUGCGCAGAUAUCAGGAGGAACACCGAUGGCGAAGGCAGAUCUCUGGGCCGUAACUGACGCUGAGGAGCGAAAGGGUGGGGAGCAAACAGGCUUAGAUACCCUGGUAGUCCACCCCGUAAACGUUGGGAACUAGUUGUGGGGUCCAUUCCACGGAUUCCGUGACGCAGCUAACGCAUUAAGUUCCCCGCCUGGGGAGUACGGCCGCAAGGCUAAAACUCAAAGGAAUUGACGGGGACCCGCACAAGCGGCGGAGCAUGCGGAUUAAUUCGAUGCAACGCGAAGAACCUUACCAAGGCUUGACAUAUACGAGAACGCUGCAGAAAUGUAGAACUCUUUGGACACUCGUAAACAGGUGGUGCAUGGUUGUCGUCAGCUCGUGUCGUGAGAUGUU